rnacentral:rRNA from 1 species
UACCAGCACCCCGAGUGGUCGGGACGAUUAUUGGGCCUAAAGCAUCCGUAGCCGGUUUUACAAGUCCCCCGUUAAAUCCAGCUGCUUAACAGAUGGGCUGCGGAGGAUACUAUAAGACUAGGAGGCAGGAGAGGCAAGCGGUACUCAGUGGGUAGGGGUAAAAUCCGUUGAUCCAUUGAAGACCACCAGUGGCGAAGGCGGCUUGCCCAGAAUGCGCUCGACGGUGAGGGAUGAAAGCUGGGGGAGCAA